AAGCAUGUAAAUAUAAUAAUAACCACAGCAACCAAGAAGAGUGCCUGACGAGCCCAGCUAAAGAACUAUCAGCGACGCGCUCCGCCCCGGAGAAGAGAUGGGAGCGAUUAUUGGAGGAGAGGAAGCAAAUAAGCAAGCAAACAUUUUUUUUUUAUAAGUUAUACGGGAAUAGUCGAUAAGAUCAGUGUUGGCUACUGCUGGGGGAGCUCUUGCUUAAUGUCUAUUUUAGAGUACGCUCACGCCAAGCGCCAGUGUGCAGGAGCUGCUCGUUGGAGGUCACAUUGCUGUCAAACUGACAGCGGCGAAGUCCCGCACCAAGGAAAGCACGCUCUGCUUUGUCCUUCUGUGCACACACUGGAGAUUGCCGGCAAAUCCACGGUGACCUCGAAGUAGCUGUCACAGUGAAGCCUGUGGCUGGAUGUCAAGCAGGAUGCGUUUUAAAAAUAACAGUUUUCAUAUACUGCAAAUGACUGAAGGCAAACCUUUGAGCGUCAGACAAGUUUUACCAUGAUU